GGCGCAAAUGGGCCGCAAAAGCCCGGACGCAGACGACGACCGCGAUGGGGGGAUGAAGGCCUUAUGGUUGUAAACCCCUUUCACGAGGGAAGAAACUGACGGUACCUCGAAAAAGAAGCCCCGGCCAACUACGUUGCCAGCAGCCGCGGUAUACGUAGGGGGCGAGCGUUGUCCGGAUUUAUUGGGCGUAAAGGGCUCGUAGGCGGCCUUGACAAGUCGGCCGUGAAAACCCAGGGCUCAAACCCUGGGACGCCGGUCAGAUACUGUCAAAGGCUAGGGUCCGGUAGAGGGGAAUGGAAUUCCCGGUGUAGCGGUGAAAGUGCGCAGAUAUCGGGAGGAACACCAGUAGCGAAGGCGGUUCCCUUGGCCGGUCACCGACGCUGAGGAGCGAAAGCGUGGGUAGCAAACAGGAUUAGAUACCCUGGUAGUCCACGCCGUAAACGGUUGGGUACUAGGCGUGGCGUCUUAUCAACGGAUGCCGUGCUCGAAGCUAACGCGCUUAAGUACCCCGCCUGGGGAGAUACGGCCGCAAGGGUAAAACUCAAACGGAAUUGACGGGAGCCCGCAGCAAGCGGUCGGAGCAUGCGGCCAAUUAAUUCGACUGCAACCCGAAGAACCGUUAUCCUGGGCGGUUGACAAUCAGCCGGGAUAAAAACCCGUGGAGA
rnacentral:rRNA from 1 species